AGCGAACGCUGGCGGCAGGCCUAACACAUGCAAGUCGAACGAACCUUUCGGGGUUAGUGGCGGACGGGUGAGUAACCCGUGGGAACGUGCCUUUAGGUUCGGAAUAACUCAGGGAAACUUGUGCUAAUACCGAAUGUGCCCUUCGGGGGAAAGAUUAAUCGCCUUUCGAGCGGCCCCCGUCUGAUUCGCUAAUUGGUUGAGGUAAUGGCUCACCAAGGCGACGAUCAGUAGCUGGUCUGAGAGGGUGAUCAGCCACAUUGGGACUGAGCCACGGCCCAGACUCCUACGGGAGGCAGGAGUAGGGAAUCUACCGCAAUGGGCGAAAGCGUGACGGAGCAACGGAGAGUGAGUGAUGAAUGUUUUCGUAUCGUAAAACUCUGUUAUUAGGGAAGAACAAAUGUGUAAGUAACUAUGCACGUCUUGACGGUACCUAAUAAGAAAGCCACGACUAACUACGUG
rnacentral:rRNA from 1 species